rnacentral:lncRNA from 1 species
AUGCGGAGAGGAAGGCCGCGCGGUGGGCCCAGCUCGCCCCGCCCUCGGCCUCCUCGGUCCUCCCGCGCCCGCCGGGACCCCCUGCGUCUGUGCCACCUCGCCCAGGCCUCUAGCCCGUGCGGACCCCCGGCGGCGGGACAGAGGGACACACGGACGGCCGCACGGGCUCGCGUAGGGCAAGCCGGCUCCGAGCCCCGAGGAAGGCGCAAGGCCCGGGGGCUCUGGCCGGCCCGGAGACAAGCGAGCGCAGGCCUGGCCCCCGGGACCGCGCCCUGCCCGACGCACGAGGUCUCGGUCUCGGCGGGGCCACGGCCCGUCCCCCACGCCCCGCGCCCCGAGCACCUGCCCCGAAGCCCGCGCCCCAGGCCCCGGGAGGGCGGACCGAGCGGAGGAGCUCCCGGCCGCGGGGCCCACGGGUACCCCGGCCGCCCAGCCCGUCUGCCCCUGCCCCGCCCUCCCUACCCCGCCCCUGCCCCGCCCGGGCCCGCCCCGCCCUGCCCUCCCUGCCCCACCCCCCCCCGCCCUGCCCCGCCCUCCCUACCCCCCCCCCCCCCCCUACCCCAACCCCCCCCCCACCCCGACCCUGCCCCGCCUGGGCCCGCCCCGCCCCGCCCUCCCUACCCCACCCCCCCGCCCCGCCCUGCCCUCCCUACCCCGCCCCGACCAGGCCCGCCCCGCCCUCCCUACCCCGCCCUGCCCCCGCCCUCCCUACCCCACCCCCGCCCCGCCCUCCCUACCCCGCCCUCCCUACCCCACCCCUGCCCCGCCCUGCCCUCCCUACCCUGCCCCGCCCAGGCCCGCCCCGCCCUCCCUACCCCGCCCCCGCCCCGCCCUGCCCCGCCCUCCCCCCCCGCCCUCCCUACCCCACCCCUGCCCCGCCCAACCCGCCCCGCCCUCCCUGCCCCGCCCUCCCUACCCCACCCCCGCCCCGCCCUGCCCUGCCCCGCGUGGGAGGCGGCCGCAGCCUCCAGCGCCCUGCCAGGCCUCAGCGCGCGGACUCCCGGGUCCCGCCUGCCCCGCGGCCAGGGAGCACACACUUCUCAGGCACCUGCUCUCCCAAGUCCGCCUUCCCCGCCGCACGCCCCAACCCCCCAUCCCGCUGCCCGGGGAGACGCCCCAAGACGUGCCCAGCAGCCCCCUCGGCCACCCCCGUACCCCGCUGGCCUACCAGGGAGCUGCGAGCCCCUUCCAACAACACUUAUGCACAAAUGUGAACACCUGAGACAGGGCUGGACACCUCUUCGUUUAUUUUUUGUCCUUUUCCAGAAGUCGGCAGUUCAGGCCGCAUCCCCUGAGCGUCCGCGCCCGAGACACUGGGAAGGUUUUCGGGGCUGUUUUCUGGAACCGUAG